GACGAACGCUGGCGGCGUGCCUAAUACAUGCAAGUCGAGCGAAUCUCAGGGAGCUUGCUCCCUGAGAUUAGCGGCGGACGGGUGAGUAACACGUGGGUAACCUGCCUGUAAGACUGGGAUAACUUCGGGAAACCGGAGCUAAUACCGGAUACUUUCUUUUCUCGCAUGAGGGAAGAUGGAAAGAUGGUUCUGCUAUCACUUACAGAUGGACCCGCGGCGCAUUAGCUAGUUGGUGAGGUAACGGCUCACCAAGGCGACGAUGCGUAGCCGACCUGAGAGGGUGAUCGGCCACACUGGGACUGAGACACGGCCCAGACUCCUACGGGAGGCAGCAGUAGGGAAUCUUCCGCAAUGGACGAAAGUCUGACGGAGCAACGCCGCGUGAGCGAAGAAGACCUUCGGGUCGUAAAGCUCUGUUGUUAGGGAAGAACAAGUACGAGAGUAACUGCUCGUACCUUGACGGUACCUAACCAGAAAGCCACGGCUAACUACGUGCCAGCCGCCGCCGUAACAC
rnacentral:rRNA from 1 species